GCAAACGGCCCCGAUGUCAAAGGCCCCCGGGGCGGAGGCGGCGGCGCCGGGAUCCUGGAAGGGGAUGCGGGGGAGUGGGCGCUUAUGGGAGGACACAGACUGAAAGGCAAAGUGACAUCCCCUUGUCAGGACAACUACAGUGAAAGAACACCCAGCCCUCAAGGACAGGGCGGUGACUUCAGGGAGACUCCAACAGCACAAGUUAAAUAACAGUAAAAUGGGAAUGCUUGGAGGCUGUGCCGGAAGAGCUAUCAAAGUGGAAAGGCCCCAGACCACAGUCAGACAGCACUGGACAGGAACUCUGGCUACUUCUACUACGAAUGACCUUGACAAGACACAGAACUUUGAGUCUCUUUCCUCACCUGUGAAAUGGGAUAGCAAUACCCAUUUCCCAGAGCGGUCAGAAUCAAAUGAAAUGGUGCAAUUAACGUGAGUCACGGAGCCUAGCACACAGUAGGUCUAAAGACACAGGACCUUCUCUUUUUCCCUCAGACAGCUUCUGAGCUGAACAUACCGAGGCACUCAAUAAAUACUCAGUGAUGAACCAAGUGAA